rnacentral:rRNA from 1 species
AUUGAACGCUGGCGGCGGGCCUAACACAUGCAAGUCGAACGGAUGGCGGACGGGUGAGUAAUUUCGGGGCAACUGCCUGAUGGAGGGGGAUAACUAGUGGAAACCGUAGCUAAUAGCGCUAACGAUCGUAUGUGCUGAGAGGGGAUUAGCGAGUAGGGGGGGUAAAGGCUCACCGAGGCGACAAUCCCUAGCUGGUCUGAGAGGAUGACCAGCCACACUGGAACUGAGACACGGCCCAGACUCCUACGGGAGGCAGCAGUGGGGAAUAGUGCACAAUGGGCGCAAGCCUGAUGCAGCCAUGCCGCGUGUAUGAAGAAGGCUUUCGGGUUGUAAAGUACUUUCAGCGGGGAGGCGUUACCCGAAGAAGAAGCACCGGCUAACUCCGUGCCAGCAGCCGCGGUAAUAC